rnacentral:rRNA from 1 species
UACGAAGGGGGCUAGCGUUGUUCGGAAUCACUGGGCGUAAAGCGCACGUAGGCGGAUUGUUAAGUCGGGGGUGAAAUCCUGAGGCUCAACCUCAGAACUGCCUCCGAUACUGGCAAUCUCGAGUUCGGAAGAGGUUGGUGGAACAGCUAGUGUAGAGGUGAAAUUCGUAGAUAUUAGCUAGAACACCAGUGGCGAAGGCGGCCAACUGGUCCGACACUGACGCUGAGGUGCGAAAGCGUGGGGGAGCAAACGGG